UAAGUCCUGGAAGGUGACAUGGGAGGGAGCUCAGAGCUACUGCAGGAAGUUCCACACAGACCUGGCCUCCAUCAGGAAUGAAGAAGAGAGGACAUGGAUCCAGCAGGCUGUAACAGAAAAUGUGUUUGCUUUUGUGGGCCUGUCCAGAAGAACCUGGUACUCUUGGUCAGAUGGCACAGAGCAUGAAUUCAAAAACUGGUUGACUGGAAACAUACCAUAUAACAGUGGAGACUGUGCUACCCGUUUGAUCGGUGCUACUGAUGCUGGAAAGUGGGUGGAAGAUCAGUGUGACCAAAAACUUCCUUUCAUGUGCCACUACGAGAAAAAGCAGCAGCUUCGGAUCAAGCUGAGGGUUCUGAAAUCCACAAUGGACCUGAAUGACCCCGCUGUGACGGAGGCCAUCCAGAAACUGCUGGAGAAGAAGCUGAAAGAGAAAGGGAUCACAGCAGGGUUCAAACUUAGAUGGGUCAAGAAGAAUGACAACACCAUCUUUGAGGAAGAGAAGGAAGAGAAGGAUGAACUGUAAACUGUAUUUACAGGAUAUCUUUCAUUUGUUUUACUUUGAAGGUUCAUGUUUUAGGUUGACAUGUUAGAGCCAACUAAUAAAUAUCAAACUGUCAUGUGAGACAUUUAUUGUUUUGGAGUAGAGCAGAGUAAAUUGUUCAGAAAACUGAACAAAUAUCUUAUUUAUCCUGUUGCUGUGUUGAUAAAUUCAUGGUAGGGCAGAUUUACAGGUGAUUUUAUCAAGGGCGUCAGUUUGUUUUUAAAAGUGGGGGGGAUGGAGACCACAGCACUUUGAGAAAAUGUCGAAGAACGGCGGCAAAAUACCACAAGCUGGGCUCGAACUCACAACCAGCGCACCAAAGGCGGAGGUUCAAGCUGUUGAGGUAUCAGUACAUGCAGGUAGAAGGGUCUGUGGGCUGCUAUAGUACUAAUUCUCCCGGGCCGAAAUUUUGCCCCUGCACGCGGAGCUUCCACUUGGCACAGGCGCAAACACUGUUGCCAACUCCUCAGUAAGGAAAGUCGCUGUUGGCUGUCCGAAAAGUCGCUAGAAGUCGCUAAAUGACGUCAUUGCCCAAUUUGCAUAUUUCCCAGUUUGCAUGUAAUUGUAAUCAACGUUGUAGGAGAGAGGAAUAACGUUGUGGAAGAGACCAAAAAGUGAGUAUAAAACAAUCAAAAUAUGUUUUUGUACUAGAGGCUAAAUGCUGUGGUUUAUUUUUGCAUGACAGUCAAGAAACAUUUUCGUUUAUAUGGCUCCGUAAGUCUGGAUGGGAUCUGUAGUGACUGCGCAUGCGCGAUUCAUCUGCCGUCUGGCCGCGGAGUGAUGUGGGUCUCCUCCAAUCAGACACUGGGACUGCUGUGGGGUUACUGGACUGACAGCCUGUGCACUGGGAGGGGGAGAAGCUCACAGCAGCACAUGCCGCUCGUUCAAAACAGUAACUGCAGAAUGAGCUGAGUUUUCCUGUCAGUCUCCAAAACGGCAGGAAAAGUCGCUAGAUUUGUCGCUGGUCGCUUUUGACAAAAAAGAAGUCGCUAGGAGUUUUGAAAAGUCGCUAGAUUUAGCGAGAAAGUCGCUAAGUUGGCAACACUGGGCGCAAAUAUAGCAUCCGCGCGUUUUUUUUUUUUGUUUUUUUUAACCUCACGAAGGUGUGCUGCGUGUCUGUGCAACUCUCGGCCGAGUGCGGAUGGUGCGUUCAGGAGCAUCGGAAUUUUGUAUACUACUGAAAAUAACUGGUUUACAACGGCUUACAUGUGAAGAAUUUGAAUGUGUUGGAGACAAAAUGACCCCUGACAAAAAGUGGGGGGGACACGUCCCCACCGUCCCCCCCUAAACUGACGCCUAUGGAUUUUAUGCAACAUACAUGUGGAAAUUUACACAUUUAAACUCUGAAAACUUUCUCAUGUGAAAAUGUUGUAAUGAACUGCAGAGACAUCAGCGUAUCCCUGUAAAGCUGGAUUCAAUUAUAUAGCAUGUUGUUGGAUAUUUCAGAGUGAUGUGUGAUGUAUUAAAAUUUAAUAUUGUAGCUUUGUAAGAAAAUCUCUGAGGUCAUGAGAGUUGUGAAGGAAAAAUGACUCUUUCCCCUUUCUAAGGUCAUAAUGGCCUUUAGACAGACAGACACUGCAGGAGAUGAGAUAUCGUCUAUUGUGAUGUGACUAAGCAGACCAGUUGUCUCCAUAUUGGUCUGUAAUCUAAAUCUGACCUUCUCCCAACUCCAAUAUAAAGCCAAAGAUCAGAGAGAAUCCUCAGAAGUGCUGCUGGCAUUGCUUGCAUGUACUGCUGCUCUGUUGGUGUCACUUCUCCUGAUAUCAGUAAACAUUACUCACAACCUAAGUCAUCUGAGUCUCCAGUGUGUCUCUCUGGAUCUGCCUCCACAUCACUGAACUUCAGCAACAAGAGUCCAGUGAAUAUUCUUCAUUGUGUGGUUUUUAAAUAUCUACAGAUCUGUAGCUGACUUGUAUCUGUUCUUUGUGUUAAAAACUGUUUUUGCAAC